CCCGCGCAGGCGCCAGCCUGGCGGUGUUAAGCAGAAAGUCCCCGGGAGCUUUGCCCCUCGCGGAGAACGAUAGUUGACCCUGAUGGGCACCCGUAGGGUAAAGGUUUGUUUUUUGUUUUUUUGUUUUUUCAGGAAAGGGUGGCCGAGUGCAGUUACGACCCUUGGAAAGUUGCAGAGAAGGUUGGAACUAAGUGGCCACAGCAAUAGUGUACCAGCAAGCAGGGAACGUGAUAGGAAGAGCUAAAGAGGAUUCGGGAAACCCUGAGUAAAAGUCGUCCAACUGGAACUUCCUUUGAUCGGGGAUCUGAUACCCGAAGGAAACCGCCUUUCACUUCUGGUUUACGGGCCACUGCAAUGAAGGAAAUUGUGCCCUGCGACUUCCCUUAACAGAGCUGUGCGUCCACGCUUCCGUUUCCGAGCAGGCGCGGAAGCUUGUGCCGGAAGCACAAUUUUUUAGCGGUUCUUUGCCUUUUGGGGAGGGAGACAGCCCCGUGGAGGCUUCCGAGACCCUUGAGUCGGCCAGCGAGACUCAAGGAUUUCUUACUUGAGCGCCUCCGCAAAUCAACACUGCUUCGCUCCUCCGUCGCGUGCUUUACCCUGGGAUGAUAUGUGGGGAAGUGGUAGGUUUUAUUUUUUUUGGGACAGGAUCUCACCGCCGUCGCCCAGGCUGGAGUGCAAUGGCGCGAUCAUGGCUCACUGCAGCCUCGACCUCCCAGGUUCAGAGAAGCGUUUGAUCGUGUUUCCCAGCCUUGUCUCAAACUCCUGACUUCAAGUGAUCCGCCGGCUUGGGUUUUCGAAAGUGCUGGGAUUACAGGCGUGCGCCACCGCGUCCGGCCCACAAAGUGUUUUGGAGGGUAGAAAACUGCAAAUUAUAGGACCGCCUUCAAGGAUCCUGAAGGACCCACAUUUGCUACAUCAGGCUCCUGUGCGCGCGGUUAAUUUGAUGUGUUGAGAUGCACUGCCCGGUGCGUUGCGUCUUCACCAGAGGAGCUUGUGUGAGGAGCUCCAUGCUAGUAGCGUGUGUAUUUGUUGGGAUGGGAGAGAGAUGCAGGAGAACUGUGAAAUAAUGCCCCCUGAUCCUCAGGGUCUUAGGAGGUGUGGUCGGAGAGGCUAAGCUAAAGCAUUAAAGCCAUGUGUAGGUCCUUCUGUGUUGUGCAGAAAAGAGAGAGGACUGUGGUUUGAAAGAGUAGGGAUAACAUGGAAGAUGUGACUCCUAGUUGGAUGUAUAAGGUGAUGUCUUUGGAGCGAAAACACAAGCAACCUUUUGAAAAUGGGUGGGUGACCGUGAAAGACCAUUACAGAGAAGAAACAACAAGAUGCAAAGGCUAAGAGGCAUACUGGAAGUACAAUGAAGAGAGCAGUCUAACUGAAAUGGGAAAAACACGAGAGUUAAAAAGUAAGAUUUGAUAAGAAAGAUGGAAUCGGCCGGGCGCGGUGGCUCAAGCCUGUAAUUCCAGCAGUUUGGGAGGCAGACGCGGGUUGAUCACGAGGUCAACAGAUCGAGACCAUCCUGGUCAACAUGGUGAAACCCCGUCUCUACUAAAAAUACAAAAAAUUAGCUGGGCAUGGUGGUGCGUGCCUGUAAUCCUAGCUACUCAGGAGGCUGAGGCAGGAAAAUUGCCUGAACCCAGGAGGUGGAGGUUGCGGUGAGCCGAGAUUGUGCCUUUGCACUCCAGCCUGGGUAACAAGAGCGAAACUCCGUCUCAAAAAAAAAAGAAAGAUGGAAUCAAUUUUUAAAGUUUUGUAUCUACACAAUAAAAUUUAUCAUCUUAACUGUU